rnacentral:rRNA from 1 species
AGAUUGAACGCUGGCGGCAUGCCUUACACAUGCAAGUCGAACGGUAGAGUAGCAAUACUUGAGAGUGGCGAACGGGUGAGUAAUAUAUCGGAACGUGCCCAGUCGUGGGGGAUAACGUAGAGAAAUUUACGCUAAUACCGCAUACGAUCUAAGGAUGAAAGCGGGGGACCGUAAGGCCUCGCGCGAUUGGAGCGGCUGAUAUCAGAUUAGGUUGUUGGUGAGGUAAAAGCUCACCAAGCCGACGAUCUGUAGCUGGUUUGAGAGAACGACCAGCCACACUGGGACUGAGACACGGCCCAGACUCCUACGGGAGGCAGCAGUGGGGAAUUUGGACAAUGGGCGAAAGCCUGAUCCAGCAAUGCCGCGUGCAGGAACGAAGGCCUUAGGGUUGUAAACUGUCUUUUGUAACGGAACGAAAGGUCUAGCCCUAAGUACGGCGGCCC